GUCAACAUCCUUAACGAAUGUAAUCACGUUCUAACCUGUUGAACGUUAUCUUAGAUGACCGUAAGCACGCUUUCGGCACCUGAGCAACUUUCAGAGGCCAGACGGAUAGCCCAAAGGGUAUUCGUUGCAAUCCUCAGUCUCAAUCACCACAUCUACCAGAGGCUGUAACACUUCAACCGAAAUCGAAGCUACAUUCCGCCGGUCAUUUUAUGAUAAUCGAAACUGACGUUGGCCUACCAUACGAAAAAGUACACCCAAAACGCACAAACAUGCAAACAGCGAGGCCGAAACUCACGCACGCCCACAGGUUCGCACACGAUAAGUUGAUUUCUCGUCGGUACGACUGACUUCAAUCGUUUCCCUUUCAA
rnacentral:rRNA from 1 species